AUUGAACGCUGGCGGCAGGCCUAACACAUGCAAGUCGAGCGGAUGAAGGGGGCUUGCUCCUGGAUUCAGCGGCGGACGGGUGAGUAAUGCCUAGGAAUCUGCCUGGUAGUGGGGGAUAACGUCCGGAAACGGGCGCUAAUACCGCAUACGUCCUGAGGGAGAAAGUGGGGGAUCUUCGGACCUCACGCUAUCAGAUGAGCCUAGGUCGGAUUAGCUAGUUGGUGGGGUAAAGGACUACCAAGGCGACGAUCCGUAACUGGUCUGAGAGGAUGAUCAGUCACACUGGAACUGAGACACGGUCCAGACUCCUACGGGAGGCAGCAGUGGGGAAUAUUGGACAAUGGGCGAAAGCCUGAUCCAGCCAUGCCGCGUGUGUGAAGAAGGUCUUCGGAUUGUAAAGCACUUUAAGUUGGGAGGAAGGGCAGUAAGUUAAUACCUUGCUGUUUUGACGUUACCAACAGAAUAAGCACCGGCUAACUUCGUG
rnacentral:rRNA from 1 species